rnacentral:lncRNA from 1 species
UAUCUGGGAAAGAGACUAGCUUUAGGCAGUUUUAGAUACAUGGUUCCAGGAUAAUUUGGCGAACUGAAUCCAUUAAGCAAGAGGGUCUUUGGGUAACAACCGUAAAGGCCGUCGCUAAAAUUUAGCAGGAAGGCCUUGCAUUUGCACAACUGUAAGCAUAGAUUUUCACAGCUUUCAUAGGUGUAAUUGGGGUAGUGACCAUAGUCAUAGCCGUAGAGUUGAACAUGAGGGAGUGGGAAGAAGCCCACCUCAGUUUGGUUACAAGCGAUAUCAGUUUCUGGUGCGCACCCAUAAGACCAGUCAGUUGAAUUUACAAUCUUGAAUCCAGGCAUGCAAGAGCAUCCUCUGCCAUAAGCAGGGGUGUAACUGCAGAGACUGUUGGGUCCGCAGAUGCCAUGAAUCUGGCAUGGUUGGGAGAUAGCCUGCCAUGAAACCGACCAGGUUCCUCUCGUUUCUUCUAGACUAUACAUUCUAAGAUUGCCAUCGAAAUCGAGGGCCAAUCUUCUCUGAGGCCCCGCACCAAAAUCCGCUGACCGAAAUUCCAAAUCAUCUGAUGCUCUAUAAUAACCCAAAGAAUCGAAUACUGCGAUUCGACUGUUGUUGUAUGUGCUUCUUCCAGCAUCCCAGGUCACCAGGCUUGGGUCUGGCCAGUAGAUGCUGGAAACCUCAGUACCAUUGAAGAGAAGGCGGAUGACGUUAUCACUGUCAAAAAAUAGCUUAUAAAAACCAGAAGAAUAGUUGCUUUGGCUUCUUGAGGAGAUAAGGCUGGUAUCUUUGGUCAGUAUCUGGUGAGGAAGAAGAGUAUCUGUGGGUGAGUCAAAGCUCUGCCAAAUCACCGUCUUCUCCCAAGCAUAUAGAACAAGAUUGCCGGUGUUAAGGAGCUGUAAUCUCGCAGAUGAGGUUGAAACGGUGUUGAUCAUCCAAACCAUGAUUUUACCAGCAUCAGUUAAGAGGAGAUUGCCAUUCCUCAACAAAGAAAGCUUGGAGCCUCUACCGUUGACCGGUUGGUCACGGUUCGCCAUCCAAACUGUGGUUGCACCCCAUGAUUUUGUAAACCAUAUGGCGAAGCAGAAAGUGUUGUUGCCGACCUGAUAAAACCCAGCAGAGAAUAUACCAUUUGCUGAAAUGAGAAGAUCAUUUGAUUUCUCCACGGAAAGAGACGAGCCUUCGCUCAGAGUAUCAUACGUUUCAGAUGAAGAUGGAUAGCAAGUUAAUAGCAAAGCCAAAACAAAGAAACCAACUGUCCUAUCCAUGAGUUUUGGGAUAUGGUUUAUGUGCUCUGUUUCCUGAUCAGAUAUUUGCAAUGGAGAAUGCAAGUGUACGGUGCUACCAGAGUUUAGAAAAUAAAUUGACUCCUUGACUGGGGUGAAGGGGGGAAAUUCACAUUGCCCCUCGGGCCAAGUUUUGCUUGUGCCAUCGUGUUGGGUUUCUAAAAGCAUUUCAUGUCAACGUCAAAAUAAUGGGAUGAAGACCCGCUAUUUUUAAUGGGAUCUAUUUUGAUUGGAUGACUUGGGCCAUUCAAAUUUUGUAGUUUCCACUUGGAACAACAAAAUUAUUAUGAGAUACGUCAUUUUGAAGAAAGAUUCUAGAAAUAAGAUGUUAAAUUGAUCUCUUUUCCAUGUAGCUGAACUCGUCAACUGUGAGUCUGAGCCAUAUGAUUUCUGUGCCAUACAGAAGCUUAUUGUUCCAAGUUGCCUGUUCAAAGGUUGACCUGUGAACAGUUUGGAUCCAAAUACAAUGAAUGUGAUGAAAUUUACUGAAACCGGGACUCUCUGACUGGCCUGUGGCCUUUAUGAGUUUUAUUUUAGAGGUGACGUCUGAUGUUGAUUGGCCCAAGCAGGGAAAGAUCAAAUGGGAAACGACGGUCACAACUUGUGGGGUGACUUACCAUUCACCAAGUAACACUUCAAAGAAAUUAAUCGAGCCAAUGGAUUUCACAAGUUCCCUCUUUGCAGAAUUUUGAAUAUUUAAAAAGAAUCUUAACUUUUAAAACCUAAAUUUAUAGUUAAUUUUUAGGUGUAAUUGUGUUUUGGAUGUAGUUGGACCAAAAAAAUUAAGUUUUGAUUCAUAUAAGUUUAUCAUUUAAGUCCAAUACUUAAAGAAAGUAUGAAAAUUAAAAAAAAUGAUAUGAAUUUUUUAUCUUUCUAAAAAUGAUAUUUAUUGACUAUGAAAAAAAUAAGUAGAAAAACAUUAAUUUAAAUUUUAUUCUUUUUAUAAACUUCAAUAAAAUUUAAUUUCAUUUAAUGAUUUGAAAAAAAAAACACCAUUUUAAAAAAAAUAAUAAUAAAUUAUUAUUAUUAUUAUUAUUAUUUAAAAAUCAAACAUAUUGAAAAAAAUAUAUUUUUAAAAUUAUAUAUGUAAAAAAUAACUAAAAACAUGUCAAAAUUUUUUUAAAAAUGAUAUAUUUUUAGAAUAUUUUUUUUUAAAAAAAAUAGUUUUCUUAAAAUAAUAAAUUUUCAGAAUAAUUAUUAAAAAAAAUUAAGAUAAAAAAGUUUGUCAAACAUUAUAAUAGAAAACACUCAAAAUAGUUUUGAAGGGUAUAUGAGUGUUUUCAUAUUUUAUAUCCUUCCCCUUGAUUAUGCCCAGAUAGAUCCAAAACAUUAUUAUCCCUAAUUUUUAAACGCUUAAUUAUUGCGAUUUGAGGGUAAAACAUUUUCUUUUAUUCAAUCAAGAUUGAAUUUAAAAUAAUAGCGUUGGUAUUACUCCCUCUCUUUUAUCCUUUUCUUAUUCUAUCUAAUAGUUGUUUUCUCGCCGCCUUUGUGGGCCAAGAUGAACUAAUGCUAAGAAUUUUAUUCAUCUGCUUUCUUUCAAGACUCACUUAUUGAAUAUAAUAUCUCAAUAAAUAUGGAACCUGAUUUUGAUUAUAUUGGUACAAUUAUUGAUACAACUGUUGGCUCCGCUCAUUUUGAUUAUAUUGGUACAAUUUUAUUCAUCCUAACCUCUAUGUCAACAGGACCACUAAACUUAAGAAAAAACACUAAAUUUUGAAUUUUUAACUUCUAAAAAAAAACACCCGACCCGACUACCUAAUCUAAAUGUUUUCCUUUCUCAUUUGAAAGUUUUCUCUCAUCUUUUUUCACUCAUGACAACCCAAAAUUUCUCUUAUUUCAAUUUAGAAACCCAAAACUGAAACUCCAAAGCGGUGUCAAAAUGCCUCUUUCGACAUGCCUCUGGCUGAGACGCCUCAGCUAGGCGCUUGCCUUGAGCCCUAACUACAGUUAACUCUCGUCUAGGAGCUAUGGGAGUCUAAGACAAUUCGGUAAAAACGAAAUAGAGCUCAGAUGGAGAGAGUAGAUGCCCAAAAACUAAAACCCUAACCUCCAAAUGCGUCCUAAACUCGCAAAUUCGUAUUCAAUAUAGCUUUAUCAGACAUAAAUAGCACCAAACAUCUCUCUUAGACCACCGAAUCGACAAAGCCCUUGAAGAACCAAAGGAAACGGUGCAAAAAAUGAAGCGCAGGAGACUUUUAAAGUAUUGGGUGUUGACGAACUUGUUGAUCGAACCUUGAUCGGUCACCUUUGGUAUUUUGGUGACUGCACCUUAGAUACUACCUUAACUAACCUUUGGUACUACCUUAGUUAAACUUGAAUACUACUUGUGUGAAACCUCAGAACUUCAUUUGUGGAUAUGACUCACUUCAUUUGUGACCUUUAGAGCAUGUCAUUUUGUAAUUAAUUAGUGUGGUCAAUUGGUUCACCUUUUGUAUUUUAGUGACUGUACCUUAGACAUUACCUUAAUAGCCCUAAGAUAUAACCUUAAUUUACCUUAAAUACUACCUUAAUUGACCUUAGGUACUACUUUAGUUAAGCUCAUUCAACUUUCUAAGAGCAAGUUGGUGUCCUUUUCAGUUUUAGACAUAAAAUAGGUCAACCGGUUAUCCUUUCUCGAUCAAGGUUUGGUUGAGAAUGAAGUAAGUAAUAUCCACAAAUGAAAUUCCGAGGCUUCAGAUAGGUAGUACCCAAGUUUUACUAAGGUAGUACAUAAGGUUGGUUAAGAUAGUAUCUAAAAAAAAUAUAUGCCAUGAUAAAAGAAAUCCACCAUGAUAAUCCGUUGGGAGAAAAAUCGAUAGAAAAUCGGUAAUUUCACUGAAAAAUCAACGAAAUCUCGGUGAUAAGUUGGGAUGUAUGGCAACUUUGGGCAAUCAGUGGUAUAAAAAAAAUUGUGGUGAAAUAUUAGCAACCCAUUUUUUUGGUGGCAGUUUUUUUUUUUUUUUUAAUUUUAUAAUUUAUCCUGUUUUUAAAAUUUUUAAUUAUUCAUUUUUAAUUUAUCAUUUCAUUUUUAACUAUUUUUUAUAUUUAUCACAUUAAUUUUAUUUAAAAAAAUUACUAUCACUUCACUCUUAAUUUUUCUUAUAUUUAUCCUUUUAAUUUUAUUUAAUUUUAAAUGUUUUUGUUUUAAAAUAUUAAAAAUAUAAUUUUACUAAAAAAUUGUUACAAUAAAAAAAAUUAAUGAAGUUCUAAUAUUUUAUAAAUUAAAAUUAAUUUAAUAAAACAAAUUAUUAAUAAUUUUAAUUAUUAAAAUAAAUUAAUUUUAAUAGAAAAAGUUGUCAAUAUUUGUAAUAAAAUUUUAGAAAUUAAAUCUUAAAUAAAAUAUGUUAUAUAAAUCAAUUUAAUUUUUUAUUUACAAUGUAAUAAAACAUGGUUUAAUAAAAAUAUUUUUAAAAUGUUAAAAUAAAUUAAUAUAAAUAUAUUAAAGGAAAUUAAGCUAUUUUUUUAUGAAAAUUUGAUAAAUAUUAUCUUUAAUCAUGUUUGGUAGUUACAAAAUAAUUUUAAUAUAUAUAUUUUUUUAUUUCAUCAUAUUUUUGAAAGCUUUUUAUAUGAAUUUUGAACUACUUGUGUUUGAUAUGAUAUUUUUGUCAAAAUAUUCAUCGAUAUUUAUUCGAUAUUUUCGAUAUAUCCAUAAAAUUUAAAUACCAUGUAUCCAUAUUUAACGAUAUAUUUCUAACAUUUGAGUUGAUGGGAAAUGUGAAUGAGAUUAAGAAAAAUAGAGAAUGUUGAGUUUUAAUUGGUUAUAAGAAAUGAAAUAAUUCUCAAAUCCAAAAUUUAACGAUUCCCAUAUUUUUUUUGUGGAAAAAUAACUUUUUUUUUUAUAUAUAUAUAAAUGUUAUUUUUUAUUUCAAAUAUAAUGUGAAUGAGAUUAAGAAAAAUAGAGAAUGUUGAGUUUUAAUUGGUUAUAAGAAAUGAAAUAAUUCUCAAAUCCAAAAUUUAACCAUUUCCAUAUUUUUUUGUGGAAAAAUAACUUUUUUAUAUAUAUAUAUAUAUAAAUGUUAUUUUUUAUUUCAAAUAUCUAUAUAUAAGUUUUAAAAAAAAUAAUUAUUUUUAUAAGAAAAUAAUGAGGAUAUUUUUAUCUAAAUGAUCUCAAAAAAAAAAAUACCUAAAGAUAUUUUUGUAUGAUGUCUUGUCCAUCAUAAAAAAAAUUACUCAGGGAGGGUGUAGUUUGGUAAAGAGACCGAGCUCGUGGAUGGAAGCUCUGGCCCACAUCCGAAGAUUUCAUAACGACGUAUAAAGUAUAAACUAUCCUAGGCCUUCGCUUAUAACUUCAUUUGUGUGUUCCUUCCCAGAAUUUGAUUCAAGGUUCGCCCUACAGCCUUUUCAGCUGAUCCAAUUUCAUAGAUUACAUGGAUGCGCCAGUUCUUUUGCUUCUUCUCGCUCUGCUUCUAUCUUCUCCACUUCCAUCGUCUACCCUCGACAGUUUGAGUCAAGGCUCAUCCCUAUCAGUUGGGAAGCCUGAACAAGUUUUAAUUUCACAAAGUAGAAUCUUUUCAGCCGGCUUCUACCCCGUCGGUGACAAUGCUUAUUGUCUUGCCAUGUGGUUCACCAAACCAUCCUACGACGGGAAACAUACGGUUGUUUGGAUGGCAAACCGAAACCAACCAGUUAAUGGGAAUUUCUCAAAGCUUUCCCUGCUAAAAAAUGGUGAUCUUAUCUUAACAGAUGCCGGGCGGUUCAUAGUUUGGGCCACAAAGACGGUUGGGAUUUCUCCGGUGCGAUUACAUCUCUUCAAAUAAAAUACUUGACAGUGGCAUGUUGUGUUGGACCCUUGUAGUUGUUGGUUGUACAGGGCGGAUCCGCUUGAUUAGCUUUUGUAGCAUAUUGUAAGCAUGCAUGGCUCUCAAAAUCUUAAGAGACAGAAAUGAAAUUUACUCUAAUAAUAUAUAUAGACACGUAAAGAUAAAAAUAUACUAUUAUCCUUUUUCAUAUAGUAUUGUAUCUUGUAUAGAAUACAUAAUCACUUGAAGUAAUUGUAUUACCCAAUAAAUUGUACCUAGUUUUAGUGACGUAACCAACAAUUUGAUUUAAGGGUGGCAACUAUUAAUGCAUAUAUAGGCCUUAGCUCAAUAGUCAAGACUUGUUAUUGUUAAGGGAGACAUUAUCUGUCUUGAGUUCAAAUUCUUAUAUUGUAAAAAUUGAAUCUUUUAUUUUUUAGCAUUUUCAUGAGGAGAGAUGACCCCCAUAGGCUCUAUCUGGCUCUAUGUCAAUGCCUAGUUUAUUGAUCGAUGGUGUUUGAAUCUAUUUAUUUUUUAUUCUUAACAUUUUCAAGGGGUAGGUGCCCCUUAGGCCUUACCCAGCUCUACUUGUAUCUAGUUUAUUGAUUGAUGGUGUUUGAAUCUAUUCAUUAUAAAAUUUUCUUAUUUUUUAUUUUAGUUAAUAUUUUAUUUAAAUUGUUAAGCUUGUUUUCAAUGAUUAAAAUAAAUAAAAACAGCAUGCAUUAUUAAUUUAUUACGUCAAGUACAAUAAAAUAAGAAAAUAAUAUACUUGGCUAAAUAAGUUCAUUCAAUAGUAUUUCAGAAAGUAACUUUCAAAUGAUAAGGAAGUAACAAUAUUACACAAAAAAAAAAAAGUUCUCUGAGGUUAAAUUAUAUCUUAUAUUUAAUUAUUAAUAAAAAUAGAAUAGUCAAUUGUACUUUUAUUCAUACCUCAUAUUACUAUAUUAGAUGAUAAGCCAGUAUAGAUAGAUUAAUACUAUGAUUGGUUUCAAAAAAUUAUUAAGAAAAGAAAAAGAAUAUUAAGAAAAAUAGGUUUUUAAUAUCUUAUUUUAGUAUAAAAAUAAAAAAUAAGAUAUAAUUAAAAUUAAUUAAAAACUUACAUAUUUUUAAAUUAUUUGAUAUUUAUAUAAAAAAUAAUAUAUUAACUUAAAUGAGUUUAAGAUGGUAUAUAAAAUAAUUUAUCAGCUUUAAAUUUUUUUUUUUUUUACUUUUACAUGAUACUUAAAAAGGUAUAUAAAUAGAGAAACAGUAUACUAAAUAAAAUAAUUUUAUCUAUAUAUAAAAAUAAUUUAUUAAUUUAAAAUCUAUUUUUAUUUCCUUUUAACUUUUCUUUCCUUUCUUUUUCCAUAUUUUCCAAAUACUUCACAGAGCACUCCACUCCCUUUUUUUUUUUCUUUUUUUUUUCUUUUUUACCUCAAAAUUUCAGAAACCAAACAUAAAAAUACAAACACAGGUGUAAAGUUUGUAUCUUUGUGAAACUCAUGUAAUCCUGACCCAUGGGAACCUUCCCAUACAAUUAAUUUCCUGCAAAGGAAGGCGGCAGCAACAUGUCAUUGGGUGAGCGUCUUAGGAGACAAAAUCUGACCAGCGGUUGAAGGAAAAAUGCACAAUUUAACUUAUCUGUGGAAGCUUGCCCAGCUGGGUCGUUUUCCAAAACACGAGGCUGCAGCUUGGAACCUGGGGCAUUCAUAUUCCAUCAUCAUCAUUAUUAACAUUUUUAUUCCAUCUAGCUUUCACCUUCCCAUGGGAAUUGCUACCAUCCGCACAAGUCAAGAGCGACUUUGUCUUUUCCAUAAAUAUUAGUAUUAUUUGUGUGUUCCUUCCCAGAAUUUGAUUCAAGCUCAGCCCUACGGCCUUUUCAACUGAUCCAACUUCAUAGAUGACAUGGAUGCGCCAGUUCUUUUGCUUCUUCUCACUCUGCUUCUAUCUUCUCCACUUCCAUCGUCCACCCUCGACAGUUUGAGUCAAGGCUCAUCCCUCUCAGUUGGAAAGCCUGAACAAGUUUUGAUUUCACAAAGUGGAAUCUUCUCAGCUGGCUUCUACCCCGUCGGUGAUAAUGCUUAUUGUCUUGCCAUAUGGUUCACCAAACCAUCCUACGACGGCAAACAUACCGCUGUUUGGAUGGCAAACCGAAACCAACCAGUUAAUGGGAAUUUCUCAAAGCUUUCGCUGCUAGAAAGUGGUGAUCUUAUCUUAACAGAUGCUGGGCGGUUCAUAGUUUGGACCAUAAAGAGGGUUGGGAUUUCUCCGGUGCAAUUACACCUCUUCAACACUGGUAACCUUGUGCUGCGUACCUCGGAUGGUGUUAUUCAAUGGCAAAGUUUCGAUUCACCAACAGAUACCCUUCUCCCUCACCAACCACUCACCAGAAAUACGAGACUCGUCUCUUCAAGAACCAAAACCAACUUUUUCUCAGGGUUUUAUAAGCUCUAUUUUGACAACAAUAACGUCCUCAGUCUUGUCUUCGAUGGGCGGGACGCUUCAAGCAUUUACUGGCCCCCAUCGUGGCUUGUAAGCUGGCAGGCGGGAAGAUCGGCAUACAACAGCAGCAGAACUGCAUUACUAGAUAACUUUGGCUAUUUUUCUUCAUCCGACGAUUUUAAGUUUCAGUCCUCGGAUUUUGGUGAGAGAGUCCAAAGAAGAUUGACCCUGGAUAUUGAUGGCAACUUACGAUUAUACAGUUUUGAGGAAAGGAGAAAUAAGUGGGUUGUUACUUGGCAAGCCAUCACGCUACAAUGCAACAUUCAUGGAAUAUGCGGACCCAACAGUAUUUGUACCUAUGUGCCUGGUUCUGGGAGUGGAAGGAGAUGCUCUUGCAUACCUGGAUAUGAGAUGAAAAAUCGCACUGACCGAACUUAUGGAUGCAUACCUAAAUUCAAUCUUUCUUGCGACUCACAGAAGGUUGGUUUCCUCCUACUCCCACACGUUGAGUUCUACGGCUAUGAUUAUGGCUAUUACCCCAAUUACACCUUACAGAUGUGUGAAAAACUGUGCUUGGAAAUAUGUGGCUGCAUAGGAUAUCAAUACAGCUAUAAUUCGGAUGUUUAUAAAUGUUAUCCUAAGCGGCUGUUGCUCAACGGAUACCGCUCGCCUAGUUUUGUAGGACAUAUAUACCUAAAAUUGCCUAAAGCUAGUCUUCUUUCCUAUGAAAAACCGGUUAAGGAAUUCAUGUUAGAUUGCUCUGGCAACCGCUCAGAGCAGCUAGUAAGAUCUUAUGCAAAAGCCCACGAAAAUGAAGUGUUAAAGUUCAUCCUCUGGUUUGCGUGCGCAAUUGGAGCAGUUGAGAUGGUUUGCAUUUGUAUGGUGUGGUGUUUCUUGAUGAAGGCCCAGCAAAACACCAGUACAGAUCCGCCAGGCUACAUUUUAGCUGCCACGGGAUUCAGAAAAUUCACCUAUACUGAGCUGAAGAAAGCAACACGGGGUUUCAGUGAGGAGAUUGGCAGAGGAGGAGGUGGGGUUGUAUACAAAGGUGUCUUAUCAGACCACCGAGUGGCAGCCAUCAAGCAGCUCAGUGGAGCUAACCAAGGAGAAUCUGAAUUCUUGGCAGAAGUAAGUACCAUUGGGAGGCUUAACCACAUGAACUUGAUAGAGAUGUGGGGUUAUUGCUUUGAGGGGAAGCACAGGCUCUUGGUUUAUGAAUACAUGGAGCAUGGAUCACUAGCACAAAACCUCACUUCCAAUACACUUGAUUGGCAGAAGAGGUUCGACAUUGCGGUGGGCACAGCAAAAGGCCUGGCUUAUUUACACGAAGAGUGCUUGGAGUGGGUUCUACACUGCGAUGUGAAGCCUCAAAACAUACUCCUAGACGUUAAUUAUCAGCCAAAGGUGGCAGACUUCGGCCUGUCAAAGUUACAGAACAGAGGAGAAAUCAACAAUUCGAGAUUGUCGAGGAUCAGAGGAACAAGAGGUUACAUGGCUCCAGAAUGGGUUUUGAACCUCCCCAUCACCUCCAAAGUAGACGUUUAUAGCUAUGGUAUUGUGGUUCUGGAGAUGGUUACCGGCCGAAGGAGUGCUUCAAUGGCCAUCCACGGUACAGAUGGCAUAGGGGAACGUCAGAGUUUGGUGGCAUGGGUGAAAGGGAAGAUGAAUGGAGCAACUGCGGUUGCUUCGUGGAUGAAAGAAAUCCUAGACCCGUCGAUGGAAGGCGAAUAUGACAUGGGUGAGAUGGAAAUUCUAGUAGCAGUGGCUUUGCAAUGUGUGGAAUUGGACAAGGAUGAAAGACCCACCAUGAGUCAGGUGGUCGAGACGCUUCUCCGCCCCGAACGUGGAAACAAUCAUCACUACUAAUAAAUUAAUGCCUCGUAUGGGGCCCAAGUGAGGUGGCUUUCUGUACCUGUUCCGCCCAUUUAUGAUAUUUGUAAAAAGACAGUAAUUUUAAGUAGAAUAAUUGAGAAGCCGAAUCUUUUGAUACAACAUACAAUAUAAUUAUAUUGAAGUAUCUUUUUAAAAGAUACAACUUGGUUAUAAAUUUUAAUGUCAAUCUUCUCGAAUGUUAAGUAAAAAAUUGUUUAAUUUUUUUAGAAAAUCUUUAAUAUUAUGUCACUAUAUUUAAAGUAUUUUUUAAGAGGUUAUCAAAAUUUGAUAUUAUUUUUUAAUUCAAAUUUAUAAUUAUAAUUUAUAAAUAGUUUUUUAAUUAUUAUAAAAUACCGGACUUCUUACUAGAUCAAUUAGAAUGGACGAUCAUCUAUUCCUCUAUAUCUCUUCAAUAUUGUUGCUAUCCUCCUCCCAACUUUAUAUAAAAUAAAAAUUUUACUAAUAAAUAUUACAUGGAAUUUUGUUCCCAAUAUCUCUCCUUCGUACUCUUAUCUUAUUAAACUCUUCUUUUACAAUAUUAAUUGAUAUAUUUUAGGUAUUUGUAUGUUAGUGAAUUAAUUUAAAUAUCGUAGGUUUUGACUUUUGGGACAACCAUUUUAGAGAGCUCAUACAUCACGCACUACCACCUCAACCUUCUUUGACAUUCAUUUAUUUAUUUUUAUUACCUUUCGAUCGGUGAUAUCAUUGCUUAGGAACAAUAAUUAUUGUGAAGGCAUUUUAUCUUUUUCGUUUACCCAAGAAUAAUCAUACUAAUAUAAACAAAUAAUUUUGAUCAUGCACAAAUAAAUAUAUUUUUAUAAAAUUUAGAUUUAAUUUUUUAGUAUAUGACAUAGAUUCUUCUUCUUCUCCUUUGCUAAAUCUCAUGUGGUUGGAUUUGGAGCAUCGACUGUACGUAUUAUUCAAUUGUGAAAGACAAAUUUCAUUGAGUUGAAAGACCAAUGGGCCAUGGACGCAAUGCUUGCUUCACUUAAUUUUUUAAAACUCGUUUUUAGUAGUACAAAUUUUUUUAUUAUAUAAAGUAUUGAUGUUAUUAUCUUUUUAUAUUAAUUUUAUUUUUCUUCCAUUUUUUAUAUUGAUUUUAUAAAAACAUAUCUUGGGAUAUUAUUUCACUAAAAACAUAUCAUAUGCAUAACCGUUUAACAUGCAAUUUUUUCAUACAUAAUCAAAGAUAGACUUUUUUUUCCUUUUACUUUUUUUCCUUCUUUUUUUUUUUUUGGUAUUUUGUCGUAAACAAACACGGUCUUAGAAUUUAAUCACAAACAAAGUAUUAUGUUACUUUUAAUCAAAUUUAAGGACUUGGCAUGCCUGUCAUGUACUUUAGACACAAAUGAAAAGUUUGAGGUCUCCUAUUGAAAAUUUAAUUCAUUCCAGUAUACCAUAUUAUUAUUAUUAUUAUUAUUUUGGUGAUCAUGGGUAUAAAUAUUACUAGGAAAAAAGGCAAAUUGACGUAAUAGAAGGCCUAACGGCUCAUGUUUUGUAUUUAUUUAAAUUAGUAUUUAUUAAUCAUUUAUUGAUGUGAUAAAAAAUUUGUAAUUCAAAAUUUGAUUUUAUCAAGUGAAGUACCCGAUAAACAGAAACGGAGGAACCUAAAGGGAGGGAAAAAAAAAAGGUGAAAUGAAGACACAUCCAAAAACCCUAAUGGCCUAUUGUCACACCCUCGAAAAUCACCUUAAAUUUUUCUUACGAGUGCGUGGUGCUAAGGACCCGUCCUUAGCCAACCUUCCCUUCCCAACGUUUAGAAGAACAGAAUAGAAUACAGAAAUCAAAGCAACAGGGACACACGAGGUUGCAGGAAAAUCCUUUCCCAACUUGUAUUAAUCACUCUUACAAGACAAAAUUGCUUCUUGAACUAGAGUACAAUGCACUUACCCAAGGCAUACAAGAAGGAAUCCUUUCCCCAACUCUCACCCUCUGUUUCAAGGCUGCAGGAGCCCUAUUUAAAUGACUCAUCUACAGUUACACAUUUGAAUUCCCUCAAUUCAAAUCUUGGAGCCAACUAGGUGGUCAUGCAACUGGCCAGAACUGCCCUCAACUGCUUGCACAACCACCCACUGUGGAUUCGGCUCCUUGCGACACGUGGCAUCGCGCAUUUCACCCGGACGGAAAUUCUCCCUUAUUCCACCCGAAUAUCUCAUAUCCGGAAUUCUGUCCGCUGACGUUCCACUCGGAUAUCUCACAUCCGGCGCCUGUCCGCCGCCGUUCCACUCGGAUAUCUUACAUCUGGCGCCUGUCCACCGUUGUUCCACCCGAAUAUCUCUCAUCCGACGCCCCAUGUCAUCGGAUAGGAGAGGAGGACGAUUCAACUUCCCCAGGUAGACAUGUCCGAAUCCUUUGGUAACGCCUAUUCGGGGUGCGCGCAUGACUUGUCCACGAUCCCCACACUUAGCUCCUGGGGUUUGAACCACAAAACCUCCAGGCUUUCCUUGCUUUCCACCUAGGCUCUCAUAGGUGCAAGACCUACCCAUGAGGCUUAUUUCUCCGGGUUUGAAUCAAGUGGAUAAGGGGUUGACACAUAUCCCCUAAAAAUUCUAGCUUUAGAAUUAUUGUCCUAGAAGAAAAAGACGAGCAAGUGUUUUCUCACAUCAUGGAGUUACUAUAUAACGUUAAAAAACUAAAGUAUUGUUUGUUUUCUUAAUUUUUUAUUUCGGUUUUUUUUAAACCUUUCAUUAACUUAUUAUUUACUUCUUAAAUUUUUUUAUUAAAUAAAAAAUUUUAAAUAUAUAAAAUUUUUAAAUAUUGAAAAUAAUUCAUUAAUUUUUCUUUACUUAUUUAAUAAAAAUAAAAUAUAAAAAAUGAACAAUUUAAUACUUAAUAUUAUUAAAUACUAUUUAAUUUUAAAUUUUAUUUAAAAUUAAGUUAAAAAGAAACACCAUUUAAAUGUCUUCAUUGUGUGUUGGACAUUAUCAACUCUACUCUUUUAUAAAAAAAUUUAUUUUAGGAAAUUUUAGUUUCCAAAUGAAGUAGGUUUAUAAACAUAUCAAUUGCCUUAAAUUUAAUUGAAAUAAAUAAACAAUAAAAAAACACUUGAAUUGAUUAAGGAACAAUUUUUUUAUGCCAAGGGAAGAUGGUGGUGAUAUAUUGAUUUGAGUAAGGAUUUCAUAAUUUCUCAAAAGAAAGAGAAAGAGGAAAAAGCAAGAUUUAUUAAAAGAUAGAUACAUUAGGAUAUCAUAUUCGAAUUUAGUAUUUUUGUUUUCUCUUCUUUAUAAAACUAAAUAAUAGAAAUCAAAUACUUUUACCAACUUCGCAUACUGCACCGUUUCGUUUUUCACUUCGUCUAAUUUUACCUUCAAUUCAUUUGUUUCCUAUUUUAUUUCUUGAAACAUGUAUUGACUAAAGCCUCUGUACCAAUGUUUCAGGACAUGGAGAGGUAGCCGUCCUCCUCCGGCCUCUCCUCCGGUCACAUAAGCUUCUCAACUAUCUGGCUCAUCGUGGGUCUUGAGUCCCUGUCUUCCUCCACACAUUCCAAGGCAACUCCAAUCAGAAUUUCCAUCCGGCGCAGGUCGCAUUCGCCUUGCAUCACAGGGUCCAGGAUGUCUUCAAUCCACGACCCCCUGGCACCAAUCCCAUUCAUUCGAUCCCUCACCCAUUUAAUCAACCCACGCUGCUCUGUCUCUCCUUGGGCAUCAGUAUCGGGGAUAGCAGUUGGGCUCUUCCCUGUCACCAUCUCCAAAACCACGAUUCCAUAGUUAUAAACGUCUACCUUGGAGGUUAUGGGAAGGUUGAAUACCCAUUCAGGAGCCAUGUAUCCUCUGGUUCCUCUGAUCCUCGAGAAACUUGAAUUGUCAAGCCCUCCUCUGUUUCGCAGUUUCGACAUCCCAAAAUCGGCCACUUUUGGCUGGUAAUUAGAGUCCAAGAGUAUGUUCUGAGGCUUGACGUCACAGUGCAGAACCCACUCCAAGCAUUCUUCGUGUAAAUAAGCUAGGCCUCUGGCCGUGCCAAGCGCUAUUUGGAACCUCUUCUCCCAAUCAAGAGUAUUGGAAGAUAGCUUUUGUGCCAAGGAUCCAUGUUCCAUGUACUCAUACACCAACAGCCGGUGCUUCCCCUCUAUGCAAUAUCCCCACGUCUCUAUUAAGUUCAUGUGAUUAAGCCUUCCAAUGGUGCUCACUUCUGCUAGAAAUUCUGCUUCUCCUUGAUUGGCUUCUUUGAGGCGCUUGAUUGCUGCCACUCGACGAUCAAGCAAUACACCUUUAUAUACCACUCCUCCACCUCCUCUUCCAAUCUCUUGGGUGAAACCUCGCGUGGCCUUCUUCAACUUUGCAUAGCUGAAUCUUUUAAACCCGUUUGCAACGAGGAUGUAGCCUUGCAUGGUCGAGACUGGAUCAUGGUGUACCCUAAAUAAGAAAAGCCAUACCAGCAAGACAAUUGCCCCCUCUAGAACUCCCAGUACGUAGGCAAACCAAAGCAAAAACUUCAAUGACCCAUUUUCAUGGCCCUUGCGAUAUGUUGUAUCUAGCUGUAUAUAACGAGUGUUGCCUGAACAAUUCAUGGUGAAUUCUUCAAGAGUGUUGGAAAUCAAGCCAGCAUCCUCUGUUUACUUCCCUAAUUAGUGUAAUGUACAGCCUUUAUUAUAAUUGAUUUAGGAGUAAUUCUAGCAAGGUAGUUUAUUCACUUUCCAUGUAAGAGUAGUUUAUUCACUUCCCAUGUAAGAGUAGUUUAUUCACUUCCCAUGUAAGAGUUUAUUCACUUUCCAUGUAAGGGAAAUUCCAUUCCGGAAUUGUCUCAUAUCUGUAGGCUAUUUAUUUAUGCUUUCAUUCAUUGUAAAGGGUGAGAUCACGGAAUGAAUUGAGGUGUUCCUCCAUAGUUUGUCUUCAAAUUCUUCAUAUUUUUCUUCAAAUUCUUCAAAGAUGAUCAUAUCUGGGAAAGAGACUAGCUUUAGGCAGUUUUAGAUACAUGGUUCCAGGAUAAUUUGGCGAACUGAAUCCAUUAAGCAAGAGGGUAUUUGGGUAACAAUCGUAAAGGUCGUCGCUAAAAUUUAGCAGGAAGGCCUUGCAUUUGCACAACUGUAAGCAUAGAUUUUCACACCUUUCGUAGGUGUAAUUGGGGUAGUGACCAUAGUCAUAGCCGUAGAGUUGAACAUGAGGGAGUGGGAAGAAGCCCACCUCAGUUUGGUUACAAGCGAUAUCAGUUUCUGGUGCACACCCAUA